UUUUAACAGCCCCACUUAUUUCCCAAGGGUCAGCAUGUUUUCACAUGCUGCAUUUUAAAAACUUCUGAAGCAGAAAUGACGAUUAGACCUGUCAGUCCUUUCACAGUGGGAAGAUUUUGUUUUCUGCUGGCUCCCUCGCCUCCUUUCAGGCUGAAAACAGUGAAGAAAGAAACCUGUAGGUUGGACACCACGGCAGGGGUUUAAAAGCAUAACUCCUGUGAGCCGCUGGGAUGGUUGAGGAGAUGUAGCUGGAAAGCAGAAUGAAAGCUGAAUGAACACCAAAUGUUACCAAAGCCUCGUGUGGGAGAUUCGGAGGUAUCAAAGGCCACCACGAAUGCCACGCGUCACGCCCAUGCCAGGGAGAGAGUCUGUAUGCUCCCUCUGCCCGCUGGGCGCUCCGGGUCGCUGCCUUUCCCUGCUCACCAAGGCAAACUUUGACAAGAGGAAGAGCCCGGCACCUUGUGGGUGCUUCCAGCGGAGAGUGAGCCCGAUUCCAGCUCGCAGUGGUAACCACUUACAUCACCAGCAUCUAAAAUUGUUCCAACAAGGAACUGGCUUAAUGGUUUGGGCAAGUAGCCACGUACUGCAUGCCGUCACUCGGGGGCCGGACACGCCGUGCCCCAGACCCGGCAGGACGCCGAACGAAAAAGCAGGGCACUGCGCCGGGGCUGCAGGGCGAGGGCAGAACCCCGCAUUCCCGGAGCACCCCGGGCAGCGGGCCCGCCCACACGAGCUGGGCCACGCACCGCCGCACGGCUCCGCGGCAGGACCACGGCGCCCACCCGCAGCGGGAUCCCCGCCGCCCUGCCCCGCCCUGCCCCUCCCUUCCCCGGGGCCGCCCCCGCUCCGGCGGGGACAAGGCGCGGAGAAGGGGCUGCUCGCUUUCCUCCGCGCCCGCCUGCGGCUGCGGCUGUGACUGCGGCACGGCCCGCGGGCGCGGCAGCGCGGACACGCGUGGGCCGGAGCAGCCAGGAGAGGCGCUGUCCCCCUCCCCGCCCCCCCCCCCCCGCGGCGGCGGGGCCGGGCGCGCUGCCCGCAACGGGAGCGCGGUGCUGGCGUGCCCGCUGCCGCCGGGGGCCGCCCGCUGCUGCCAGGCGGCGGCGGGGGGUUGGUUAACACCCGGGCUGUCAUUUCAAGGCCGGCAGCUCACGGGAGGGGGCGGGGAAGGGUCGUGUGAGUCUCCCCCGUGUUUGCGGCGCCCGCGGGGACCAGCAGCCCUGCGGAGGCGCGGCCGCCCCCGCCGCCCCCGCGCCCAGCGACCCCCGCCGCCGCCUCGGUUUGGCGGGGCUCGGGAGCGCGGCGGCCGGCCCCGUACGCGGCCAACACCGUGACAGGGGGACUGUGAUCCCGCAUGGAAAGGAGCCGGCAGCUUCGCACCGCCUUCCCCCCCCCCCCCGUAAGCAUCUACCAGUGCUUGGAAAAAAAAAACCCACACAAAAAAAAAAAGAAAAAAAAUUGCCGCCUAUACAGCAAGAAAUUGCUACUUCAGAAGAUCUAGCCGUACACCAGGAACACUUCAGCAUGUACCCGAGCCGAAAUAUAUUUGGAAAGAUGGGGGGAGGGCACUUUUACCCGGCUUUCGUCAGUGCCAGCUUGAAGAUAGACAGAAAUAAUUAAGAAAGAAAAAAAAAUCCCUCCCCUCCCCCCGCCCGAGCGGUCGUAAUACAUUGAAAUUUCCCAAAGUCUAGUCAGCUGCAAAAAAUAAAUGUUUCUGGAGCUAGAGGAUCGUGUUGCAGACGCGUGUGACUGCGAGACCUAGAUUCCUUUCCCCGCUCCCCCGUCUCUUUCCUUAGGUGUUUUUUAGCAUUAUUAUUUGUUUUGGGAGGGGAGAAAUCAUCUUCGCUUCAGUCUCUUGCUAGAGGUCCAGACUGCUUACGUCUGAGCGCCCCUUAUCAUUUCAGUGAAUGGCAAUUGCAGCCUUGGUGCUGUUAUAGCAAUGAAGCUACAGACGUCAUUGCCUCCUGUUGGACGUGAGAUGUGUCCAAGCAUCAGCCCCUUUUGCUUAAGAAAAACUCUUUAACUUCCACGCAGCCGACAGGCAGGCUUUUCUAAGAUCCUGUGGACCCAAUCUUGUAUUGAUAGAGUUAUAUCUUUUUAUUUAUAUAUACAUAUGCACAUACACAGGUGUGCGUGUGUAUGUGUGUCUGUACGUAUGUACAUAGAGAGACAGAAACAGAUAAAUUAAAGCUGCAGCUCUAUUGCAAGCUCCUCCAAAAUUUCCUGCUCGUCAGAGUAGCGCUCUGCAUCGUUUUGUUAAAUACAGCCCGGCGGGAAAGCCAUCAUCAAUCAAUUUCGGGUAACAAGGAAGACUUGUUGAACACCUUGUUCUCCAGACCCCGGGAAGAUGCUGGGCUGCUGGAGCGUGGAAGAGCCAGGAUUGUGCCCCGAACUUCACCCACUUGGCAGCCGCUGUUACUAAACCAUUUCCCCUCUCCUCCCCUGCCUCUUUGCCUCCCGGACUGAGAAUCUGCUCUUUAAAGUUGAUCUGAAGGGGAAAGCAGAGACGAGCUUGUGCA